UUCUUGAAACCAUUUGGUUUCCUCGGCAAGGAGUUCUUCACUCUUCUUCUCAUCUUUGUCUUCAUCCUUUGGUGUUUUGUCUUCCAAGAUGUGGCUCCAGAGACCACGACCACAAAGAGCAGUUUUGGUGGUUCUGGACCGCAGAAGAUAGUUAGCUCCCUUGAGCAUAACUGGAAUCACCACCAUUUUUGUGUUCUCCAUGAUGAACAGAAAGUAACCAUUGGGAAAUAGAAUAAAAGAGAAAGAGCGAACCAGAGAAUAAGAACACAGAGAUUAA
rnacentral:lncRNA from 1 species